GACAUCAGCAUGACACAAUCACCAUCCUUGUCUGCAUCUCUAGGAGACAGAGUCAUCCUUACCUGCAGGCCAUAUAAGGGUAUUAAUGAUUGGUUAGCCUGAUGUCAGUAGAAACUACGGAAUGUUCAUAAACUUCUAAUAUACCAUCCUAUCAGUGUGGAAUGAGGAGUUUCUUCAAGGAUCAGUGGCAGUGGUUUUGGGAAAGAUUUUACUUUUACCAUUAGCAACCUGUAGCCUGAAGAUAUAGCUACUUAUUACUGUCAACAGUAUUUUAGUAU